rnacentral:lncRNA from 1 species
GCAGCAUCUGACUACAUGGAUUUUACCGAUUUGCGUUGAGUGACGAUCAACUCCUGAACUAAUGACUCGAUCUGUUUUUGCGUAUUGCACGAAAGCCGAAACGUUUCCGCUAUUGUCUAUACCUUUAUUAAACAGACUGUACAUGCACCAACACACAAGCCACCAAAUGCUCUUCCACAAUGGAAGCACUUGUGUUCAUUAUCACUGCUCACUCAGAAUAUUUUUGCAGUUUUCUGCCACCAGGAGGCAACAAGAUAGUCAAUGAUGCCAGGCAUAAAUUGACCGAUUUUAUGGGAAAUACCUACUGAUGUGAUAUCACAAUAUGGCAUCAGAGAAACAGAAAACAAAAUUACACAUGGUUGCGUGUAUUAAAAUGUGUGCUAUCAUGAUGUUGCUACAAAUUUUUUAACCCUCAGUAUACGAAGUGGGCCUAC